AUUUGAAUAUGUUUACCGUAGACAGUAGGUGCCGCAAGGCUUAAUUUCCUACCGAGGUGUUCUGAUAGAGCGUCAAUCUAUGAUGACUUAUCAAGCCUUCGUAAUUCUACGGAGGCUUUUUUCAU
rnacentral:sRNA from 1 species